rnacentral:rRNA from 1 species
AGAGUUUGAUCCUGGCUCAGAAUCAACGCUGGCGGCGUGCCUAACACAUGCAAGUCGAACGAGAAAGUGGAGCAAUCCAUGAGUAAAGUGGCGACCGGGUGAGUAACACGUGACUAACCUGCCUUCGAGUGGGGGAUAACCUCGGGAAACCGGGGCUAAUACCGCAUAAUAUCCACGGAUCAAAGGAGCAAUUCGCUUGAAGAGGGGGUCGCGGCUGAUUAGUUAGUUGGCGGGGUAAUGGCCCACCAAGACAAUGAUCGGUAGCCGGCCUGAGAGGGCGCACGGCCACACUGGAACUGAAACACGGUCCAGACUCCUACGGGAGGCAGCAGUGGGGAAUUUUGCGCAAUGGGGGAAACCCUGACGCAGCAACGCCGCGUGGAGGAUGAAGUCCCUUGGGACGUAAACUCCUUC